rnacentral:rRNA from 1 species
UCCAGACUCCUACGGGAGGCAGCAGUGGGGAAUAUUGCACAAUGGGGGAAACCCUGAUGCAGCAACGCCGCGUGAGUGAGGAAGUAUUUCGGUAUGUAAAGCUCUAUCAGCAGGGAAUAGAAAAGAAGGAACCUGAAAAAGAAGCACCGGCUAACUACGUGCAAGCAGCCGCGGUAAUACGUAUGGUGCAAGCGUUAUCCGGAUUUACUGGGUGUAAAGGGAGCGUAGGCGGCGCGUUAAGUCUGAUGUGAAAUCCCGAGGCUCAACCACGGGAGUGCAUUGGAAACUGGCGGGCUGGAGUGCCGGAGAGGUAAGCGGAAUUCCUAGUGUAGCGGUGAAAUGCGUAGAUAUUAGGAGGAACACCAGUGGCGAAGGCGGCUUACUGGACGGCAACUGACGCUGAGGCUCGAAAGCGUGGGGAGCAAACAGGAUUAGAUACCCCGGUA